UGCCAAUCAACGACUUGAACUGUCAAGCUGAGUAACAUGCAGAAAUCAAGUGUUCCCCAGUGAAAGCAGCGAGUUUUCACGGUGACUGUGGUGACUGUGGUGACUGUGGUGACGAAUCACCCAAAGAAAAAAUAAAAACGCUAAAUUCA